rnacentral:lncRNA from 10 species
UGGCCUGGCGGGGGGCUGACCCCCCCACCUCCCUCCCUGACGGGGCGGCUGGCUGGGCGCAAAGCACAUGAUUUUCAAGGGAUAAGUUGUUAGGAUGUUUUUAAUUGUGAUGAUGAAAUUCCAGCUCAAGUUAACUUAAGCAAAAGUAAACAAGCAAAAUUCCAAAAAGGGAGUUUACUUUCUUACAUAAUUUCAGAGAACAAAGAUGGGUGUCUUGCUAGCUUCAGUCAUAGCUGGACCCAGGUGCUCAAAUCUCUCUCUUUCUCUCUCUUCUUUCUUCAUUGUCUGAUAGCUUCAGGCAUACACAGUAAACCCUCAGCUCAUGAUUUCAGAGUAAGAGAGAGCCUCCUCUUGGACCAACAACUCUAGACUGGGAAAUGGGGCACCACAGUUGGCCAGACAUGGGUUGCAUUCCCCCAAAGCCAGGGGAUAGAAAGCAUGAGUAGGCGCCAAACAUUUCACGUAAGCAGCGAAUAUGCAGGCUUCCUCUUUGCAUCUCACCCAACUAUGCUUAAAAUGGCUUGUCUGGCACACUUUGAGGGGUCAGCCUACUUCCUUGCAUUCAAAAGGUGAAGAGUUUCUAACUCUUUGUUCUUGAAUCAAACCAAGUGACUGAAGACUAAGUGUUCCAGAUGGGCCAACCACGCAGCAGCAUGGUGGCAGCUCUGAGAUGCUGCCCAGUGAGCCCCAGUAGUCACAUCCUGGAGAGUCCCCUCUUCACUGAAUAGGACCCAUCUGGCAACCAGUAGGACUGCAGAAAUGAUGUCCAAGGCUAGGCCAUAAAAGACAUGGUUCCUGCCUUGCUCUCCUUGAAUCACUUCCUCGGGAGCAGCCAACUGCCAUGUUGUAAGGACACUUAAGCAGCUCUGUAGAGGAGUCCAUGUGGUGGGAAACUGAGGCCUCCCACCAACAGCCAGCACCAACCUGCCAGGCAUGUGGGUGCACCACCUCAGAGGUAAAUCCUCCAGCCCCAGUUCAGCCUCUAAUGACACAACCCCAGCUGAUACCCUGACUGCAACCCCAUGAAAUCCCUGAGCCAGAACCACCCAGCUAAGCCACUCCUGAAUUCCUGACCCACAGAAACUAUGAAAUAAUAAAUGUUCAUUGUUGUUUCAAGCCACUAAGUUUUGGGGUCAUUUGUUACACAGCAGUAGAAAUCUGAUACAGGCAUAUUGUGGUCCCUUCCUCCCUUCCCAGGGACAGAGUCACUUUGGAAAGCUUCCUUGGAUCAUUUUCAAAGCACUUCUCAAUAACUAUCUUAGUUCUUGUUACAAAGUUUCAGUUUCACAAAUGGACUCACACGGAUAUCACAGGCUGCUCCAACCCUCAACAGUGAAUUUGCCGAUAAAACAAAAUCAGGGACUAGGUGUGGUGGCUCAUGCCUGUAAUCCCAGCACUUUGGGAGGCCAAGGCGGAUGGAUCACCUGAGGUCAGGAGUUCGAGACCAGCCUGACCAACAUGGAGAAACCUCAUCUCUACUAAAAAUACAAAAUUAGCCGGGCAUGGUGGCACAUGCCUGUAAUCCCAGCUACCCGGGAGGCUGAGGUAGGAGAAUCGUUUGAACCUAGGAGACGGAGGUUGCAGUGAGCCGAGAUUGUGCCACUGCCCUCCAGCCUGGGGAACAGAGUGAAAAAAAAAAUCAGAUUUCCACUGCAUUUACUUCCCUCUCCUGUACUAGAUAUGGAGGUAGUUGAAAUUCUAACAGGAAGGAUGCCUUCAAAGUUCGGUCAGUCUCCCUCCUUGUUACUGCAUAUGACGGGUGGUAUCACACACUAUCACAAUACUGCAAAGUCAUUGAUAACAUGUGGCAGGAGUGCCCUGGGUUCUGAAGCCCCAUGAAGUCCUCCAGGCGGUCUUCUGGCUGAAGUAGUGCCUCCCUGGCAGAUGAGCUAGAAUUCAAGGAAGUCUGAUCCUAGGCUGCUUGCAUCAAGGGAGAACUCGGGGAAGAGGUGGAUCCUGAGCACACCCUUCAAUGCCCCCCUUCCCUGAGCAGGAUCCAGAUGUUAUCAUUCCCCAGGAGCUCAAACUACUCCAUCUCCCUGGUCUCCCAUCGUUGAACUCCAAUCAUGGAAAGAAUGCCAUACAAGCUAGUGCUCCUCAGUGUACCAGCCAGGACUCUGCAAGUGACAGAAAGCCCCGCACACAGGCUCCAGCCCAUCCUCAGGUCUCUGCCUCCUGCUCCGGCUCUGGCUUCCUCCGCAUGUUGGAUUCGUAUGGGUUGGUCCCCAGCUGCCCUGUGAGGCAAGGCAGGCCUUGAUGUUCACUUGCCAUAUCAGGUCCCGCCUGCCUCUGCAGAAAAAUUUUAGGCUCCUCAAGGUCUGGGUCCACUUCUACUCCUCCUAUCAGAGUGUAAAUAAAAACAGUCUCCUCAUCCUGCCCCUGCUCAUAUAACCUCUGUGACAGGAUGCUCACUACUUGGAGAAGUAACUCUUUUUGCGGAGCUG